AAAGUAGUUUGCAAUUACAGUGCUUCGUUUUGUGGAAUUAUUGCCAUUAUCCUGCAGAAAGAAAAUCUGUGUUGAUCAUUUGCAAUUUUGCCUUUAUGAAGGUAAAAUCAUGACAGAUUGUCAUGGACUAUU